GCGUCAAAGCGAAGCCGACGGGGUGCUUUACACAAGAGACGCCAGUGGCAAUUAACGCGGAUUUCCUAAUGGUAGCUGUUUCCCAUUGACUCGAGCCACAGGACAGUGUGGACACCUGACAAAUACUCUGAUCUUGCAACCUGUUGCUGUGAGAUUUUGAUGGAGGGUCACGGAAGUCUCCGUGAAAUGGGUUUGGAGGCUGCAUUGGCAAAGAAAAGUGCCUACUCCUCUUCCUUCAGACAGCCCAGCCUCUUCCUUUCUCCUCGGCCAU